ACCACAUCCCAACCUUAUCUACUACUCCUAUAUCUAACAGAGAAAAAAAUCUCCAGGUUGUGUCUAUCGUCUCCUCCCCUCCCAAUCUUCCCCCAAAUCUUUCCCCAUGCCAGUGGUUAGAGCCGGAGGAGCUCCAUCACGACCUUGGUGUUCUCCGAGCCCUCCUCGCGCCCGUGGACUAGCACGCAGGUCGUGAGAGCGGGGGAGCUCCCUCACGUUGUGGCUCUGCUCUGGGUCAUCCUCGCACCGACGCCCUUGGACGAAUCAGAGACGGCCAUCUCGGCGCAGCCCGGGUUCCAGCGGGAUGGGUCACUGGCCUGCCCCCGCCUCCUCGCUGCCUCCAUCAACGCCGGCAAGAGCUGGAAUUGCCUGAUGCAAUCACUCCCACCACGGCCCUGCAAGCCAUCACCGCGCAACUAAUUCCUGCUCGCGCAGGCGGCCUCGGAUGCACCUGAUGCGGCCAUCCACAGGCAGCGGAUUGAGUAUGUGCGCUCGACCCUCCUCUGCUUCGGGCCCUCCCUGUGCCGGCCGCCCUUGCCUUCACGCAACUGUGCCUAAGGACAUGAUUCGAAGUUUUAGCUGAAGGUGGCUUACCCUAAUGGAUACCAUUAGGAACUUCUUCACCACCAGCCACAUCAUCCUUUGAAGUCGUCCGGAUGACUGUUGUCGUUCAACCUUUGCAAAUGAUGAGAGGAAGACAAGGAGAAUGAUGCAAUAUUGAGCAUUGACAAUGCAUCUACUUAUUGGACGUGGACUGUCAUAUUCCCAUCGGCAUAUCAAAUAUAUUUCUUUAUAGCAACGCCAUGGAUUUCCUAUCAUGUUUAGCCUCACUCCAAGGCAAGGUACACCCCCCCCCCCCUCUCAUGGAAUUUUUACACAACACUAUCAAUGAGACUGAACCUCAUGUUUCAGAUUUUGUUUCAACGAGACUGAACCUUAUGUCUUUUGGAUUUGUCAUUGACUUUUCCAUUUAUUCGAGGCCCAAUCAAGAAAGCUCAUGUAAUUUUCUGGCUGACUUUCUUUGCCUACCUACCCGUGACACUUUUAUAAUUUUUUUUUGAGCAUCAGUACAGACACAAGCGCUCAUAUACACGCGCAUACACUCACCCCUAUGAACGCACACACGCAUACCCUACCCUUGUGAGCACCUCGGAGAGACUGAGCCGGCAUAUCAUCUUGAGAUUUACGAAGUCACCGUAGGCGCCUCGUCGUCGACGGGAACAUCUCCUCCCACUGAAAGCGCAUCGCUGGAAAUCCUGAAAUAAAUCCAGAAAUAAUGCGAGCACCAGGAUUUGAACCCUGGUGGGUUGACACUUUUAUAUUGAGAACUAUAGUUGGUGCAUUUAAGAUCUGAACAUAUGUUUGGUACAAGGUAAUUAUGCCAGUAGCGUUUUUUUGGGAUUAGUACACUUGAAGUUUUAGAAGACACUCUUUUCGACCCAUAGCAGCAAGAUUUUGGUCUUCAACUCUUUUGCAGGAAGAGUGCUACUGAUAAUACAAAGGUAUACAUGAAAUAAUAGACUACUGAAGAGUUGAUGAGCUCAACUCCGUUGAAAUAUCUUAAGAGGAUGAGAUAAAUACCUUCGCAAAAAAGCAUAAUGUACGCAAUACCAUCUGAAAGGAAAAUUAAUAUCUCCAAGACUUCAACCACCUUAUAUGGAAUGCCUCUGCCUAUUGUUGGCUCUCAUUUGUGUGCCAUAUAGUACACUUAUGUAGCUGAGAUAAGAUGUAACAUUUUAAAGUUAUGUUGUUUAUAUCACCU
rnacentral:rRNA from 1 species